UGAGGAAUAUUGGUCAAUGGACGAGAGUCUGAACCAGCCAAGUAGCGUGAAGGAUGAAGGUUCUAUGGAUUGUAAACUUCUUUUAUACGGGAAUAAACGAAUCCACGCGUGGAUUUUUGCAUGUACCGUAUGAAUAAGGAUCGGCUAACUCCGUGCCAGCAGCCGCGGUAAUACGGAGGAUCCGAGCGUUAUCCGGAUUUAUUGGGUUUAAAGGGAGCGUAGAUGGGUUGUUAAGUCAGUUGUGAAAGUUUGCGGCUCAACCGUAAAAUUGCAGUUGAUACUGGGUGUCUUGAGUACAGUAGAGGCAGGCGGAAUUCGUGGUGUAGCGGUGAAAUGCUUAGAUAUCACGAAGAACUCCGAUUGCGAAGGCAGCUUGCUGGACUGUAACUGACGCUGAUGCUCGAAAGUGUGGGUAUCAAACAGGAUUAGAUACCCUGGUAGUCCACACAGUAAACGAUGAAUACUCGCUGUUUGCGAUAUACAGUAAGCGGCCAAGCGAAAGCGUUAAGUAUUCCACCUGGGGAGUACGCCGGCAACGGUGAAACUCAAAGGAAUUGACGGGGGCCCGCACAAGCGGAGGAACAUGUGGUUUAAUUCGAUGAUACGCGAGGAACCUUACCCGGGCUUGAAUUGCAACUGAAUGAUGUGGAGACAUGUCAGCCGCAAGGCAGUUGUGAAGGUGCUGCAUGGUUGUCGUCAGCUCGUGCCGUGAGGUGUCGGCUUAAGUGCCAUAACGAGCGCAACCCUUAUCGAUAGUUACCAUCAGGUUAUGCUGGGGACUCUGUCGAGACUGCCGUCGUAAGAUGUGAGGAAGGUGGGGAUGACGUCAAAUCAGCACGGCCCUUACGUCCGGGGCUACACACGUGUUACAAUGGGGGGUACAGAAGGCAGCUACACGGCGACGUGAUGCUAAUCCCGAAAGCCUCUCUCAGUUCGGAUUGGAGUCUGCAACCCGACUCCAUGAAGCUGGAUUCGCUAGUAAUCGCGCAUCAGCCACGGCGCGGUGAAUACGUUCCC
rnacentral:rRNA from 1 species